UACAGAGGUCCCAAGCGUUGUUCGGAUUCACUGGGCGUAAAGGGUGCGUAGGCGGUCGAGUAAGUCUGACGUGAAAUCUCCGGGCCUAACCCGGAAACUGCGUUGGAAACUACUUGGCUAGAGGAAUGGAGGGGAGACUGGAAUACUUGGUGUAGCAGUGAAAUGCGUAGAUAUCAAGUGGAACACCAGUGGCGAAGGCGAGUCUCUGGACAUUUCCUGACGCUGAGGCACGAAAGCUAGGGGAGCAAACAGG
rnacentral:rRNA from 1 species